rnacentral:rRNA from 1 species
ACAACCUGCAACAACGGAUCUCUUGGCUCCGGCAUCGAUGGAGAACGCAGCGGGAUGCGAUACGUGAUGCGAAUUGCAGAUCUCCAGUGAGUCAUCGAAUCUUUGAAAGCACAUAGCGCCCGCCAGAUCUCUGGCGGGCAUGCCCGUCCGAGCGUCG